GAUGAACGCUGGCGGCGUGCUUAACACAUGCAAGUCGAACGGAAAGGCUCCUGCUUGCAGGGGUACUCGAGUGGCGAACGGAUGAGUAACACGUGGGUGAUCUGCCCUGCACUUCGGGAUAAGCCUGGGAAACUGGGUCUAAUACCGGAUAGGACCACAUUUUGGAUGGUGUGGUGGAAAGUUUUUCGGUGUGGGAUGAGCUCGCGGCCUAUCAGCUUGUUGGUGGGGUAAUGGCCUACCAAGGCGUCGACGGGUAGCCGGCCUGAGAGGGUGUACGGCCACAUUGGGACUGAGAUACGGCCCAGACUCCUACGGGAGGCAGCAGUGGGGAAUAUUGCACAAUGGGCGCAAGCCUGAUGCAGCGACGCCGCGUGGGGGAUGACGGCCUUCGGGUUGUAAACUCCUUUCGCUAGGGACGAAGCGCAAGUGACGGUACCUGGAGAAGAAGCACCGGCUAACUACGUG
rnacentral:rRNA from 1 species